rnacentral:rRNA from 1 species
AGCGAACGCUGGCGGCAGGCCUAACACAUGCAAGUCGAACGGAUCCUUCGGGAUUAGUGGCGGACGGGUGAGUAACACGUGGGAACGUGCCCUUUGGUUCGGAACAACUCAGGGAAACUUGAGCUAAUACCGGAUGUGCCCUUCGGGGGAAAGAUUUAUCGCCAUUGGAGCGGCCCGCGUCUGAUUAGCUAGUUGGUGAGGUAAGGGCUCACCAAGGCGACGAUCAGUAGCUGGUCUGAGAGGAUGAUCUGCCACAUUGGGACUGAGACACGGCCCAAACUCCUACGGGAGGCAGCAGUGGGGAAUCUUGCGCAAUGGGCGAAAGCCUGACGCAGCCAUGCCGCGUGAAUGAUGAAGGUCUUAGGAUUGUAAAAUUCUUUCACCGGGGACGAUAAUGACGGUACCCGGAGAAGAAGCCCCGGCUAACUUCGUGCCAGCAGCCGCGGUAAUAC